rnacentral:lncRNA from 1 species
UCCAACUUUAGUGUGCACAAAUAGACACUUAAACCUGUAUAAAGUUAACAAUUAGACACACAUAUCUUAUGUGACAUAAUACAUGUAGGAUGGCAUAAUACAUUAAAAUAAAAGAUGGCAUAAUAUACGUUUCUUGUUCGUGGUGUUUCGGUGAUGUCUAUGAUUUCGAAUAGAUAGUUUAUAGUGUUAUCCGGUGGUUAUCUUGUUUUUUUUUUUUUUUUGUAUUAGCUAGUAGUGCGUUAUCUCUUUUUGUUGUGUGCUUUUGUGUCUUGUGUUUGUUAUUCUGUUAUCUAUCCUGAACUGAGGGUCUAUCGGAAACAAGAUCUCUACUUCAUUUGAGAUAGUGAUAUGAUCUGUGUACACACUAUCCUCUCCAGAACCCACUAUAUGUGAGAUGAGGUAGUGAUGUGAUCUAUGUACACACUAUCCUCUCCAGAACCCACUAUAUGUGAGAUGAGGUAGUGAUGUGAUCUAUGUACACACUAUCCUCUCCAGAACCCACUAUAUGUGAGAUGAGGUAGUGAUGUGAUCUAUGUACACACUAUCCUCUCCAGAACCCACUAUGUGAGAUUACACUGGGUAUGUUGUUGUUGCUGGUUCCACCGACAUGACCGAGUAAAACAGAAAGAAGAACCAGCAAAUCGAAGGAUGUGAAAAACUCAAAAUUAAGCAAAGCAUAUGUACAAUAUUUGACAAGUAAGUAAUCAACAAAAGAACAAAAUAAGAUUUUUGUAAAAAAAUUUCAUGCAUAAAAGGAUGGGAGUAUUACACAUAAAUCAAUAACAACAUAUAUAGUAAUCUUUUAGAAUCAUAUAGUAAUAUAAUUAAUUAUAUGAAGGUCUCUACCAAGUGAACCACUUCAUAACAUGAAUUGGUGCCUUUAUCAACUCCCAUGCAAAUUCCUUUAUCAACUCCCAUGCAUAUUGAACAAAUGCAAUUGCACACAGACAUGGGCAUAUGCAACUCAAUGUCAACCUGUAAAUAAUUCCAAAAUUUCAAAUCCAAUUUACAAUUUUAUUUCAAAUUCAAAAAACAACUUAUAUAACAUGUGUUACUUUUGAAGUUGUGUUUAAGUAUAUUCAAAUAAGAACAUUGUUCAAAAUACUCUUUUAACUUCAUCUUGAAUUUCAACUCCAUAGUAAAAUCCAAAUAAUUGCUAAAAUAACAUAAACAUACUCCUUAACUUACCAUAUUUACACAAAUCUCCCCCCUUAUAACGUAAUUACAAAUAUCUAAGCUAACUAUGUAUCUUCAUUGGAUGUAUCAGGAAACUAAUUAUGUAUCUCAACAGACCCAGAAUCAAAAAAUUUGUAUCGAAAGCUAAUUAUGUAUCUUUAUAAAGGAAAAAAUGUAUCUCCAAUAGACUCAAAAUCAAAAUUUCAAUAAUCAUACAAAAUGAUAAAAUUUUCUUUAAUUAAGCUCCAAACUAUCAGGAUUUAUAUUGUUCGCCCAAAAUAAACUUCUAUAAAUGUUUUUAGUAAUAGGAAAUUGUUUUCCAAAAGCUUUUAUAAAAAAAAAAAAAUUGUCAUUUUUCCGGAAAACACUUUUGGAACUUGGUUAAACACAAAUUUCUAUUAGUAUUUUUUUUACAAAAAAUAAUAAUUAGUCAAUCACAAAUGCUACUCUUCAAAAAUAAACCGAUUUUGAAAGCUUAGCCACAGUAACGAUUAUAAUUUAACUUAAAAAAUUACUCCAGUUAACUCUCCAUAGCCGAAAAAUAUUUAAUAAUUAAUUAAUCGAUCACAAAUGCUACUCUUAAAAAAUAAAUCAAUUUUAAAAGCUUAACCACAGUAACGACUAUAAUUUUUAACUUCAAAAAUUACUCCAAUUAACUCUCGAUAGCCGAAAAAUAUUUUUCAAAUUAAUUAAUCAACCACAAAUGCUAGUACUCUUAAAAAAUAAACAGAUUUUGAAAGCUUAGCACAAUAAUGACUAUAAUUAACUUUAAAAAUUACUUUAGUCAACUCUCGAUCAUAAAAAAAUAUCACAUAAAUUAAACAGAGGAGAAAAGAAAUAGAACGAACACGACGAUCAAGACGAUAAGGCCAAGGAGAGAGACGAGAAGAGCAAGCAAAGCAAAAGGAAGACCAAUAAUAAAGCCCAACGGUGACUUUAUGCUAUCAUAUCUAUCAUCUUCACGAGGCAUUAUUAAUAAUUAAUAGAAUUUGUCUAUGUAGUUUCUA